rnacentral:rRNA from 1 species
AAGGGGGCUAGCGUUGUUCGGAUUUACUGGGCGUAAAGCGCACGUAGGCGGAUUCUUAAGUCAGGGGUGAAAUCCCGAGGCUCAACCUCGGAACUGCCUUUGAUACUGGGGAUCUCGAGUUCGGGAGAGGUGAGUGGAAUUGCGAGUGUAGAGGUGAAAUUCGUAGAUAUUCGCAAGAACACCAGUGGCGAAGGCGGCUCACUGGCCCGAUACUGACGCUGAGGUGCGAAAGCGUGGGGAGCAAACAGG